UGUGAGACUCUGAGCGCCUCUCGCGCAUCAGCAAAGGGUGUACCUGUACAGAGAGAGCACAAGAUGUGUGUCCAUCAAAGAGAGGGAACAAGAAACUGUAAUGCAGACACUGCUCCACUUCAAGAUACUAAAAUUCUCCACUGUCACGCUACAGCUGUAUCACAUCGGACACAUGAACAUACACGCGCAUAAAUGCGCAUCUCCACUGCAAAAAUCUAGUUAGACCAGCCAAGCAGAAGAUGCUUCACAUCACAGCAUCAGGAUCCUGUUGUUUGUCAAGCAUCCAAGCCCGUUUCCCAGUGUUUCCCGGUGUGUUGGGUUUCUGCUUGUUUAUUGGACUUCUUUUGGAUUUCUGGAAUUUGGAUUUUUGCCUGUGUCUACUGGUUUUGUUUGCCCAGUGUUUGGACUGUCCUCCUGUGUUUUGAUUCUUGCCUGCCUCUACAACACGUAAGCAUGUUCACUUUUUGUGUUAUUAUGAAUAAACACCAUAAACUGAA